ensembl:lncRNA
GUUUGAUUGAUACCAGACUUUCCAUGGAAUGGACAAAUAAGUAAAAGAUGAAAAAAUAGAAAAAGAAAAACUUUCUUUUUCUUCAGCUUGUCCUGAUGUUUUCACAGGCAAAGACUCAGAGCCUUCUGCUGGCCACAGGCCUGCUUGAGCUAUGUGGGUUCUGUGCUGUGUGUUACGUUGGCUGUGGUGUGGCCAGAUGCACGUCACUUCACUUUUUAUUUCUUGUUAAUUGAAACAAAAUGUAAAGUUGUUCGUUUGGUUUUUUGCAUAGCCAACUCCUGCAAAUGUUUGCAUCCUUUAUGGAUGCCAUUUCAGUGGUGUGGGUUUCACUAUUCCUUGCCCUCAGAAGCAGCUCCCUGCAGCCAUCUACAAGUUGUUCUCAUUCAAAUCCAGCUUUUCAUCAAAACAAGAAGAUAUCCCAACAGCAAUCUGUACAGCCUCUAAGAGCAGGAGACUUUGGCCCAGGAGAAGAGCUUGAAGGCAGUAUAGAUAAAUAAACCCGAACAGCAAACAAGCAGACUAGAUUUCCCCUUCUCAUUAUUCCCUUUAUUUUUGAAGACAGAUGAGAUCAGUGCGUCAGAAGCAGAGGUCCAGUUGUGUAAUUUGAUGUGCAGUACGUUCAGGAGCAUGUGUCUGUGUAUCUGUGAGCUAUAUUUGGAUGUACAGUCUAUUAAAAGCCCGGUGCAGUCACCCCCCGGCAGGAGUCAGAGCCCCCAUCCGUGGUGUUGACUGCCUCAGGAGAGGACUGGAGCCCACCCCUGCUUGACUUCUUUUCUCCAGGACGAUGGCUAAAGACAGCAUAUCCCUGCGCUCCCUGAGCAAGACAUUAAACAGAGUAGAAAGCAGGCUGCAAGCCUUGGAGACGCGGUUCCAAGACCUGGACUCAAGCCUGCAGAAGCUGGAGCAGAAGUUUGAGGUGCAGGCCGAGCUCCUGGAGAAGGAGAGGAGCCAGGACACAGCGUGGACAUCGGCGCUGGAAGACAGUCAGACCGCACAGCGCCGCUCCCAGCCGGAAGCUGCAGCCCAGCUGCGGGGCCGCGCGGCACGGAGCGCUGCGGCUCUUCCUGUUUGCUGCUCCCACACGGAGCGC